CCCGGCUCGGCUCUGCGGCGUGGAGGCGAAGGCCGCGUCUGCAGACUUCACGAGGAACUACGGCCCCUCCUUGACCUCCCUGCUGUCGGGGGUCCCCGAUGGGUGAAUGAGCGGCCGUGUGAUGUGUCAGGACCUUCCCUGAGAGACCCAAAGGGAGCCAUUCAUUAGGACGGCGCUUGAGCCUAAAGCUGACCUGCCCCAUCUGAAGGCAGAUCGCCCAUGAAAGCCCCCGGCGUUACUUUAUUCCUGGAAUCUUAAUUACAAGGCAGCACCAGGACGGAUGUAUUAAGUAGCUUCAAUUCACCCGGCCCGGCAGCCAAUGCGAUGGCGCCCUGAAGGCUUGGUGGCAGAUAACGGCUGAUGCGGAAGCGAGGGGCAGGUAUGAAAUGGCAAUGCAUUUCAGAGAGCCUGACCCAGAGAGAGAGGCCAGCUUGGAAGCAGUCCUCCAUAAGGAGAAUGUGAUGCCAGAGACACCGAUGGUCUUCUGAAACCAUCUUUUUUGGUUUUGCUAAAUUUGUAUCGGUUGACGGAUUGAUUAGUUGAUUGACUGAUCCAUGCAUUCACCGAGCCCCUGCUGUGUGUCCGCUCCAGCUCUGAGCACUCAGUGAUCAAUCAGCCGCCCACCUCGCAUCCGGAGAGAUGGCAAGACACACGGUUCCAGAUGGUGACACCAGAAACAGCCACACACAGCUGUUUCAUCACCAGGUGAUACAAGCCGCCCCCUCCAGGACCCCCCACCCCAUCUUGGGUCCUCAUGGGCUGCCGUGUGCAGGGUUUGGGGGCAGCCUCGGCCCUGUCUGUCUGCAGAGCAUCUGUCUUCAGGGAGGAAGUUGGCCCGGGGAAGUUACUCUUUAGCAUGGCCCUGAGAUAUGUGGGUGGGGGUGGAGGACAGAGCGAGGCCAGGGGCAGGGUGAAGGCUGGGACUGGUCUUACUCUAUCUGGACACAUUUUAAAAGCUAUGAGUUGGGACGUCUGGGUGGCUCAGUGGUUGAGCGUCUGCUUUCGACUCAGGUUGU